UACGUAGGGCGCAAGCGUUAUCCGGAAUUAUUGGGCGUAAAGGGCUCGUAGGCGGCCAACUAAGUCAGACGUGAAAUCCCUCGGCUUAACCGGGGAACUGCAUCUGAUACUGGAUGGCUUGAGUUCGGGAGAGGGAUGCGGAAUUCCAGGUGUAGCGGUGAAAUGCGUAGAUAUCUGGAGGAACACCGGUGGCGAAGGCGGGUCUCUGGGCCGAUACUGACGCUGAGGAGCGAAAGCGUGGGGAGCGAACAGG
rnacentral:rRNA from 1 species